CCCUACGGGGCGCAGCAGUGGGGAAUAUUGCACAAUGGGGGAAACCCUGAUGCAGCAACGCCGCGUGAGUGAAGAAGUAUUUCGGUAUGUAAAUCUCUAUCAGCAGGGAAGAGAAUGACUGUACCUGACUAAGAAGCCCCGGCUAACUACGUGCCAGCAGCCGCGUUAAUACUUAGGGGGCGAGCGUUAUCCGGAUUUACUUGGUGUAAAGGGAGCGUAGACGUUUCUGCAAGUCUGAAGUGAAAGCCCGUGGCUUAACCGCGGCAC
rnacentral:rRNA from 1 species